UUUAUCCUACGGGGGGCAGCAGUGGGGGAUAUUGCACAAUGGGGGGAACCCUGAUGCAGCGACGCCGCGUGGGUGAAGGAGUAUUUCGGUAUGUAAAGCCCUAUCGGCAGGGAAGAAGCAAGACGGUACCCGACUAAGAAGCCCCGGCUAACUACGUGCCAGCAGCCGCGGUAAUACGUAGGGGGCAAGCGUUGUUCGGAAUGACUGGGCGUAAAGGGUGUGUAGGCGGUGUAGCAAGUUAGAAGUGAAAUACCUA
rnacentral:rRNA from 1 species